rnacentral:rRNA from 1 species
GAUCAUGGCUCAGGACGAACGCUGGCGGCGUGCUUAACACAUGCAAGUCGAGCGGAGAAUAUAGCAAUAUAUCUUAGCGGCGGACGGGUGAGUAACGCGUGGGCAAUCUGCCUCAUACAGGGGGAUAACACUGGGAAACUAGUGCCAAUACCGCAUAAAAUAGUGAAGUGGCAUCACUUUACUAUCAAAGGAGCAAUCCGGUGUGAGAUGAGCCCGCGUCCGAUUAGCUAGUUGGAGGGGUAACGGCCCACCAAGGCGACGAUCGGUAGCCGAACUGAGAGGUUGAUCGGCCACAUUGGGACUGAGACACGGCCCAGACUCCUACGGGAGGCAGCAGUGGGGAAUAUUGCGCAAGUUACGGGGGGAAACCCUGACGCAGCAACGCCGCGUGAAGGAUGAAGGUUUUCGGAUUGUAAACUUCUUUGAUUGGGGACGAUAAUGACGGUACCCAAGAAACAAGCCACGGCUAACUACGUGCCAGCCGCAGC